UAUUAGGUUUGGCGUUGAACUGCUUGAUUUUGUUAAUUGAAUUACAUUAUAGUUCGAUAUAAUUAUGUAUCAAAAUGCACAGAUUUGAAAUGAAGAUUGUCGUGAAUUUUUACACAAUGCACAAACAUCUUUAUUUUUUUUUAAUGUUUAUUUAUUUUUGAGACAGAAGGACCAAAGCACGAGCAGGGGAGGGGCAGAGAGAGAGGGGGACACAACCCGAAGCAGGCUCCAGGCUCUGAGCUGUCAGCACAGAGCCCAACGUGGGGCUCAAACCGAUGAACUGAGAGAUCAUGACCUGAGCUGAAGUCAGACACCUAACCGACUGAGCUACCCAGGUACCCCUGUACAAACAUCUUUCAACACCACACAGUGUAGGACCUAGAACAUUUCUAGCACUCUACAAGGCUCCCACCCACCCUGCAGUCAGUAUACACGCCAAGGGGAGCCAUUAUUCUGUUUUAGCUCUUUUUGAAUAUUACAUAAAAGAAAUGCAUAGAAUGUAUGUUUUUGUACCUGCCUUCUUUCCGUAUCAUCAUGUCUGUAAGGGUCACCUACAUUAUCAUGUGUAUCUUUCUUUCAUUCUUUUUUUUAUGGAUGUAGAGGGUUCUGUUGAUGAAUAUCUGUUUUCUUUUUUCUAGCGAGGGGCUAUUAUAUGACAACUGUUGUGUACAUAAUUUGGAGGACAAAAGCAUUCAUUCCUGAUGUACGUGUAUUCACCGGUGGAGAUACACCUCUCCAAGGCAGCAUGUGCACAGGCAUGGCCUCAGGCUGCAGAAACCCGAAAGUAGGACCAGAAGAGGAAGAACCCUUUAUGAAAUGCAGCUGGAAGGAGAAUCACGAGAGCUCACAGCUUACUUACCAGCUCUGACACGUAUAUUUGGUAACUGAUGAUUAAAAAUGAGAGCAAACCAGCUGUUAAAUGAAAAUGAAGAAUAUCCUGCGUUGCUCCCCAAA